AACUUUAACAAUGGAUCUCUUGGCUCUCCCAUCGAUGAAGAACCAGGGAAAUGUGAUAAGUAAUGUGAAUUGCAGAAAUCAGUGAAUCAUCGAAUCUUUGAACGCACCUUGCACCUCUUGGUAUUCCAAAAGGUACACCUGUUUGAGUGUCA
rnacentral:rRNA from 1 species